GCGUGACGUGUUAUACGUUCUGUUGCAGUUUAGAUUCAGAUCCAUCUGCUACACUCCUGUUCCUUUUUAGCUUGUGGGUGUGUGGGUGCGAGUGAUUUUGUUUAUGAGUUGAAGGAAAAGUAAUCAGUGUUGGGUGGUGAUUUGGCCACAUGCAAAGUGGAUAUUUUCCCAGCCUGUCCACAAGUGUUUUAUUCCUGUUAUACCACAGGAAUAUGCCAACAGUGAUGGGGGCUCUUCUUAUUGCCCUUGUUCCUGUACAUCAGUAACAGCGUCUCCAGACCCCUCACCACAGCCUCAACAGGAACGGUGACAGGCCUGCAUAUCCUAAGUUUAACAUCUUUGGUGCAGCUAUAACAACCUUGACCUGAAAUAACUAAAGACCGUGGAGUUUACAAAACACUGAGUGGGCGCGGCACACCUCCUUCACAUAUGACUGGAACCUAAUAUUGAUUUCACUGCGAAAAAGCCGAGAACGCCAGACGUGCCUUAGGAGCAGAUCUACAAAACCACCAAAUAUGAGCACUCUCAGUUAAGAAGCAGUGGGAAAUAUCAUCGCUGACCCUCACACCUUGGACACCGCAUAUUUGAAGUGUUUCCCUCUAGCAGAUGCUUUAAAAUGAUGUGCACACAAAAAAAUGACCAGACUCAUGAAUGUGUAAUCCGCCCACACAUGUAAUGUCAAUCUGCAGUAGUUUGUAUAUGGGUCAAGAGCAAAAAUGAUUUUUGUAAAACAGGUUAAUUAGAUAACGUAAAUUAGUUUAAUUAAGCUGUUUAAAAAUUAUUUUUAUCUUUGACGCAUAUAUUAAUACUCAUCCAGCUAUUACUAUUACUAUCAACAACUAUCCAGCUAUUACUGUUUUUUUUUAUUAUUAAACUAAAAUAAAAUAAGUAUUAUUCUUGUUACAAGUUUUGCUGAUACUUUUUUGUGACUUCAUUUUUUAAAUUAGUGUUAUAAAUAUAUAUUAGAUCAUUAUUCUGAAUGACAAUUUUGCAUUGUACAUUGUAAAUUGCAUUGUUUCUGGCAUAAUAUACACAAUUUGGAAAAAAAAAUUAUUAUGAGACAAGAGACAAUUAAGAGUUAUAAGAUAUGCAGCAUUUACGGUAGGCAUAUUAAUGAUCCUACAUUAAGUUUUUACUUUAAGGAAUUAUUUUUGUCUUUGACCCAUAUAUGGUAUAAACAAAAUAAAAAUAAAAACAAAAAAUAAGAAUAAAAUAAAAUCAUUUUUCUUGUAAUAAGUCAAGAGAAUUUCUCUGUAGGCUUUGCUGAAUGGAUGCUGAGUAAACAAAUCAUGGGAGAUGAGGUUAUGUUUAAUUAUUCAGCAAACCAUUCAAAGUAGGACUAUUAAAAACAACUAGAGUA
ensembl:lncRNA